rnacentral:rRNA from 1 species
GGGCUGGGAAAGACCGGUGCCAGCCGCCGCGGUAUCGUAAGGAGAUCAGCGUUAUCCGGAAUCUUGGGUUUAAGGGUCCGCAGGCUGUUUAAUAAGUCAGUGGUGAAAUCUCGAGGCUCAACCGCGAAACUGCCAUUGAUACUGUUAGACUUGAAUACUGUUGGAGUAGGCGGAAUGUGUAGUGUAGCGGUGAAAUGCUUAGAUAUUACACAGAACACCGAUUGCGAAGGCAGCUUACUAAGCUGUGAUUGACGCUCAUGAACGAAAGCGUGGGGAGCGAACGGGAUUAGAUACCCUGGUAGUCCACGCCGUAAACUAUGAUUACUAGAUGUUGGAGAUAUACACUCAGUGUCUAAGCGAAAGUGAUAAUUAAUCCACC